rnacentral:rRNA from 1 species
GAUGAACGCUGGCGGUAUGCUUAACACAUGCAAGUCGAACGGACUCUUCGGAGUUAUUCUCCGCCGGGUGAGUAACGCGUGAGAAUCUUGCUUUGUGGUCGGGACGACCACUGGAAACGGUUGCUAAUACCGGAUGUGCCGAGAGGUAAAAGAGAAAUUUCCUGAAGAUGAGCUCGCGUCUGAUUAGCUUGUUGGUGAGGUAAAGGCUCAACAACGCAGCGAUCAGUAUCUGGUCUGAGAGGAUGACCAGCCACACUGGCACUGCGACACGGCCCAGACUCAUACGCGAGGAAGGACUGGGGACUGAUCCGCCAUCGGCGCAAGACUGACGGAGCAAUACCGAGUGAAGGAAGAAGGUACUUGGGUUGAACACCUCUUUAAUUAACGAAGAACAACAUGACGGUACCUAAGCAAACAGCAUCGGCUAACUACGUG